rnacentral:misc_RNA from 1 species
GUUUCUUGUAGAUGCAACAAAGUACAGGACAGUUUGCACCAGCAAAACUCAUAAUGAAAGCUGAAAAGGCUAAAAUCGAAAAGCACAGACAAACAUAAACUUCACCCAACUGUGCUAAUUAAUUCACAACCCUAGAAGAAUUGUAUUUCUUAUCCUAUGAUCUACUGUAGAACUAUUCAAGCCAGCAGCAAAAACAUUGAAGCAGCAACAAGCUUUAUCCAUCAAAUCUCCCUUAAUUGAUCUAUAUGUUUGACUAUGCUGUCAUACUGUGCAAUCUUAACCACUCUAAGUAGGGAUAUGUGUUUCAUCACAUGGCAGGAUCCUUCCAGCUCUCUGCUAUGAAGAUAAUUCUUUGGAUUUUGGUUUUGUAUAGCCCAAAUAGAUUAGCUUCUCCACUAAUUUUUUCUCAGCAUUUACCUCAAGCAUGGGAGCGUUCUUAGGAAUAUUACACGCCAGAAUUAUAUUAAGACCAGUCUUUAACACUAAUCGUCGAGCAAUGCUAGAUCCCGUAUUAUCAGAAGCUCCUCCGAGUAAACAAGCAACACUCGCCGUAUUACUAGGCAGCGUCGGCGCAGCCGCGUACAAGUGGCCAAAUUUAGCAGAGUUACAGCUAAUCCAUGCAUAGAUCUGUUUGUGAAGGCGGAUGAUCUGUAAAUGAAGGGUAACAUCAUCGACGAUUUCGGUGAAGCAAUUGACCUGCAAGCCGCCGGCGGCAGCAUCGUCCUGUUGGGCGGAAGACGAAGAUGAUUCUUCUAGUUUGAGAUUUCCAAGAGAGCCAUUAAACCCAUCGAAUUCAAAAUUUUGACCACUCAUUGUUAAUCACAAUCACACAAGCUCAAUUUGUAGAUUUGAAACUCAAAGAGUGAGAGAGAGCAGGGAGAGGGUUAUUACUUGAGCCAAGAGUCAAAUAGGAUAGGAAUAGCACGCUACGUUUGCUGGAAAUUAAACUACGAGUCGUUUACCAUAUCCAUCAGGAGAACUCCAAGAUACAAUAACACUUAGAUGAAAUAUUGAUG